AACGGCCGUACCAUGCUGAAUAUACCGGUUCUCGUUAGAUCACCGAAGUCAAGCAUUAUUGGGCGCGGUCAGUACUUGGGUGGGUGACCACCUGGGAACACCGCGUGCCGUU
rnacentral:rRNA from 1 species